rnacentral:piRNA from 1 species
UACAAACACACCGAAGAUGCUGGGAACAC